AAGUCGUAACAAGGUUUUUGUAGGUAAACCUGCAGAAGGAUUACUACCUUUCUAGCUAUUUAAUAGCUUGUCUGAGGGCUGCAGUUUCUGCAGUCUCUGACUACAUCCGUGUUUUUUGCGUACUACAUGUUUCCUUGGCGGGCUUGCUUGCUAGUUGGACAAACUAAAACUCUUUGUAAUUGCAAUCAGCGUCUGAAUUAUAUAAUAAUUACAA
rnacentral:misc_RNA from 1 species